rnacentral:rRNA from 1 species
UGGGGAAUUUUGGACAAUGGGGGCAACCCUGAUCCAGCCAUGCCGCGUGCGGGAAGAAGGCCUUCGGGUUGUAAACCGCUUUCGGCCGGAACGAAAUCGCCGGGGAGAACAUCCCCGGUGGAUGACGGUACCGGAAGAAGAAGCACCGGCUAACUACGUGCCAGCAGCCGCGGUAAUACGUAGGGUGCGAGCGUUAAUCGGAAUUACUGGGCGUAAAGCGUGCGCAGGCGGUUCGCUAAGACAGAUGUGAAAUCCCCGGGCUUAACCUGGGAACUGCGUUUGUGACUGGCGGGCUGGAGUGCGGAAGAGGGAGGUGGAAUUCCACGUGUAGCAGUGAAAUGCGUAGAGAUGUGGAGGAACACCGAUGGCGAAGGCAGCCUCCUGGUCUAGCACUGACGCU